rnacentral:lncRNA from 1 species
UUUUGGGGUGUAGUUUAGAGUUAUGUUCAUGUUUGCUUGGUCCCUCAUUUGAGUCCACCUGUGUAGGUUCGGACCCGAGGAACCGAGGACCCCAACAGUGAGUCAGCUGCUCCAGUGUCUGGUCAGAGCUACCCAGAGGUGAGUGGAAUAUCUCAUUAUGUUUUAAAGCAAAUGAUGGACUUUUUAGCAUAUUUCACGCAUCAUGAAUGCCAUGAGAUGUACUAGGUUGUUUGCAUUAGAAUUCACGAAUAUGUUGCAUUGUAUACUUUAUUGUUGAUUGAUGUGGAUGAACGUUGGAUGAUCCAAAGCCCUCGAUCUAUGAUAUGACGAUGUGAUAUGUACGGUACGGAAUGUAAGACCAGUGGGACCCAUUCUACAUUCGCUGGCACCAUGUAAGGGAAAGACCAGGACCCAUUCUACGUUCUGGCACAGUUGGACUGUUAUGUUAUGCUAUGUUAUGUAAGAGAAAGACCAGGACCCAUUCUACGUUCUGGCACAGUUAGACUAUGUAGAGGGCUAUUGGUGACAAGUUCAUCCUUGAUGUGAUUACCUGUGAUGUGAUGCAUUCCAUGAUGCCAUAUGAUUUAAAUGUUUUUAUUAUUCUGCUCACUAGGCUCUAGUAGCUCACCCCUCUCUCAUUUCCCCAGGAUUGCAGGUACAGGGUAGACCAGGAGAUCCGUAAGAGUAAUGAAGUCAAGUGUUUGUAAUAGAUAGUGUGGACAUGAUAAAUGUAUUAAUGUCAUGUAGAAGUACAGUUUUAGUCAUGCAAUGACUUUGAGGAUUAGAGG